GGUCAGUCACAAAAUUCAUGCCCCCUUCUUCUUGGGUAUGGUGGUGUGUAGUAGGAAUGGAAGUGAUAGGUGCCAUUUCCAGGCCUGGUGCAUUGAUUCCCCAAUGCCUUUCACCAUGCCCUUUCUCCUGGAUCUGGCUGCAUACAGGUGCAGAUAGACCUUAGAGGAUAGUAGAACAACAGGAUGGAAGCAUCUGGAGUCCCUGAAUAACAGCUUGGAGGAGCAGCAUCUCCAGAGAACUGAUACCUGCUCAGGACUGUCGGGGAAAAGCUUCUACUGUACUGAACCAUGAUUCUAUUUUGGUAUAUUUGAUAUUUGCUGCAGCAUCUUAGUUUAUUCUAAAGAAUACAAUGGAAAAGGACAUGGCAGGAAAAAGGACCCAUUUGCAGAAGAGGGAUACAAAAAUACAAUUGAAAUUUGCAGAGUUAAGAUCACAUCUGGAUCACAGGAUUUCCUUCGGCACACCACACAUUUAUAAGAUAUUGACAAAUGGAAUGUACCCAGGUGUUUCCUGGUAUGGUAAAGCAUCUGGAAAUGACUGAAAGAACUGAGUACAUUUAGCAUGAAUUAAGUAGUGACGUUGGAGUUGUCAUCAAAUAAUUGAAGAAAAGACAGAUGGAAGAAGGAUAAUACGUAUGCUGUUCCAAAUGCCUGAAUUUAGGUAGGACCAGUAAUAUAAUUUAGGCUCAAUAUAAGGAAGCUUUUUAUGUAAAGUUUCAUAUUAUCCAAAGAUAGAAUUUCCUUUUGAGAUGACUUUGUCAUUGGAUGCGUUCAAGAAGGCAAAUUACAAUCUCACUGGGUCUAUUGUAGAAAGGAUUAUUGCAAUCUUUGGAAGAUCAAACUAGAUGAUUUCUGAGUUUCCUUCAAUGCUAUUAUUGUUGCUAUAAUAAGAGUUCCGUAUGUGAGCUUUGCGGCCAGAAAUCCUAAGCGUUUAAAGGUCUGUGUCUAUUCGGAGGAGCAGGACAUGAUAUAGAUAACCCUUUGCAAAGGGGCUAUAACUUACA
rnacentral:lncRNA from 1 species